AUUAUACUACUUCUCUACUCCAGGGACACAUGGAAAUUAUAAAGCUGGAGACCAGACUGGAAGAUUUCUUGCCACAGUGACAUUCCAACUGCACACAGAAGGCUUGAGUGAGCAACUGAGAAAACAGAGAUGAUAAAAAGUAUCUAGCAAGUUGCUAACUUAUUUGUGCAGACAAGAUAUUUCUGCCGGUACCCCUACCUGGUGGACUGUGCAUGGGAUUCAGUGGAAGUUCUACAUUAGAGGAUGUGGGUAGAAGAAACAGGCCCCUCAAAUUUGGGGUGUCUGUUUUCAUCCUGCAUGAAAGAAAGGAGAUUUUUGCCUGCAACCAUUCAGCUGUGUCCAGCUCCAAGACUGAAAGGAGCUGUGUAAUGAAUGCAAAGUUGAAGAGAAUUGGAAAAAUGUGCUUCACAAGAAAAGAUCAAAGCAAAAAUCCCUGACAUACCACCUCCUCCCAGUCCAUGCCGUACUGCCCUGGCAAAAGUCUCCCAGAUUGUGCAGAUCAGAACCUGGACUCCACCUCAGCAAUGACCUGAAUGAUCCACAAGAAGAGGUGAGAGAAGCCUUGAAGAGGAAGCUUCAGAUGAAGGAUGGAAGCCAAGUUCUGCCUUUUCCUUCUGCUGGAGCUGACUGUUCCUCCUGGGCAAAACUACAGGACUUGCCCAUUAACUUUGUAAUGUACUUAAUUAACUCUUAACAGAGUAAAGUGAUUAUUCUUGGUUUGGGAGUGUAGAUUUUUUCCAUCUUUGUAAUUUUUUUUUUUCCAGCUGCUAACAUUGCACUGCAUGAUACGCUUGGA
rnacentral:lncRNA from 1 species